rnacentral:rRNA from 1 species
GACGAACGCUGGCGGCGUGCUUAACACAUGCAAGUCGAACGGAAAGGCCCUGCUUUUGUGGGGUGCUCGAGUGGCGAACGGGUGAGUAACACGUGAGUAACCUGCCCUUGACUUUGGGAUAACUUCAGGAAACUGGGGCUAAUACCGGAUAUGAGCUCCUGCUGCAUGGUGGGGGUUGGAAAGUUUCGGCGGUUGGGGAUGGACUCGCGGCUUAUCAGCUUGUUGGUGGGGUAGUGGCUUACCAAGGCUUUGACGGGUAGCCGGCCUGAGAGGGUGACCGGCCACAUUGGGACUGAGAUACGGCCCAGACUCCUACGGGAGGCAGCAGUGGGGAAUAUUGCACAAUGGGCGGAAGCCUGAUGCAGCAACGCCGCGUGCGGGAUGACGGCCUUCGGUUUGUAAACCGCUUUCGCCUGUGACGAAGCGUGAGUGACGGUAAUGGGUAAAGAAGCACCGGCUAACUACGUG